AGGAGAGCAAGUUUAUUAUGAGGAAGGGCGUUGGUGAACCUGGCGACCUUAAUGGUAUGGUGUUGAGUGCCAGCAGGACCCUCUGGCUGCCGAUAACACAUGAACGUUUGUCUGACUUCCUGCGAAAUGAACAGACGAGAGGUCAAUGGGAUGUGUUGUCCCAGGGUGGUUCCGUGCACCGAAUAGUCCACAUUGCCAAGGGUCAGGAUCCUGGCAAUAGCAUCACUCUGUUUCGUACUACUGUGGCUAACAGCGAUGGUAGCCAAAACGGUUUGCUGACCU
rnacentral:misc_RNA from 1 species